rnacentral:misc_RNA from 1 species
GAUGAAGAACGUAGCGAAAUGCGAUAAGUAGUGUGAAUUGCAGAAUUCAGUGAAUCAUCGAAUCUUUGAACGCAUCUUGCGCUCCUUGGUAUUCCGAGGAGCAUGCCUGUUUGAGUGUCAUUUUAACUUCUCAACCAUAUCGAAUUGUUUUUCGAGGUGGCUUGGACAUGGGGGUUUUUGCAGGCUUUAAUAAUGAAGUCGGCUCCUCUGAAAUGCAUUAGUGGUAUCUGAAGCAGAACUGCUACUAUUAGGUGUGAUAAUUAUCUAUGCCUCUUGGUAUACUGCAUGAACAGAUUGCGCUGCUUCCAACUUGUACACCCUUUGGUGUUUGACAAAUUUGACCUCAAAUCAGGUAGGACUACCCGCUGAACUUAAGCAUAUCAAUAAGCGGAGGA